AAUGGAAUUGUUGAUGUGG
rnacentral:miRNA from 1 species